rnacentral:misc_RNA from 1 species
CCAAUAGCGUAUAUUAAAGUUGUUGCAGUUAAAAAGCUCGUAGUUGAAUUUCGGGAUUGGCGCAUCGGUCGUGCCUUACGGGGUAUGAACUGGUGCAGUCAAUUUCUCACCUUCUGGAGAACCGCGAUGUCCUUAAUUGGGUGCCGCGGGGAACCAGGACCUUUACUUUGAAAAAAUUAGAGUGUUUAAAGCAGACAUUUUUGCUUGAAUACAUUAGCAUGGAAUAAUAAAAUAGGACGGCAUGGUUCUAUUUUGUUGGUUUCUAGGACCACCGUAAUGAUUAAUAGGGAUAGUUGGGGGCAUUAGUAUUCAAUUGUCAGAGGUGAAAUUCUUGGAUUUAUUGAAGACUAACUACUGCGAAAGCAUUUGCCAAGGAUGUUUUCAUUAAUCAAGAACGAAAGUUAGGGGAUCGAAGACGAUCAGAUACCGUCGUAGUCUUAACCAUAAACUAUGCCGACUAGGAAUCAGACGAUGUUAAUUUUUUAAUGACUCGUUUGGCACCUUACG